rnacentral:rRNA from 1 species
UACGUAGGUGGCAAGCGUUGUCCGGAUUUAUUGGGUUUAAAGGGUGCGUAGGCGGCUUUAUAAGUCAGUGCUGAAAUAUCCCGGCUUAACCGGGAGGGUGGCAUUGAUACUGCAGAGCUUGAGUGAAGUCGAGGUAGGCGGAAUUGACGGUGUAGCGGUGAAAUGCUUAGAUAUCGUCAAGAACACCGAUAGUGAAGACAGCUUACUAGACUUCAACUGACGCUGAGGCACGAAAGUGCGGGGAUCAAACAGG